GGUGUUAUGCUUGAAAAGGGAGUAAAUCUGUCAAAUACUAUCAGUAAAAUUGUUUAAAAAUAGGCUAAAUACAGUGGUUCUGUUUGGUGAUUCUGUAAUUGUACAGUAGAGCACUUUAACUCCUAGGAUAGAGGAGGGCUUUUUAGAGAGGUGAUGGAGUGAUAGUUAAAGUAUUUCAUUCUGAAGUAUGGAAUUUUGAAAACAAAAUAUAAUUGCUGGGAUCCUGGGUUUGAUAACAAGUUCUCCUUGUUCAGCAACCCAUGAAGGGAAGCAAUUUGGUGACUUUGCUGCCAGGUCAGUAGUGUCACUGGGAAAUGCUGUUUGCACUGCCACCUCUGGAAGUAAGGGUGGAAGACCUGAAAAGGGCUGCUUUUACACAACAGUUUUGAAGAACACCUCUGUGCAAGACAGCAUUCCAGCACUGCCUGUGUUCCCGUGGAUAGGGAUCCAUGGCUCAAGGCCUGAUUUUGCAAGAUAUAUUAGGACGAAGCAAAUCUCCUCUAAGUAGACAUCCAAUUACGAGGCUUGCAGUUUGGUGAUGCAUUCUGUGCUUGCUGGAUUUACAGGGCAAUAAUCUGGUGCAUACUGAUGAACCUCACUGGGGGACAGAGGUGUUUGCAGUGUGCUGUUUGGAUUGAGACAACCAUUACUUGGGAUAGAUAUGGAGGGGAAAGCAGACUUGUUUUUGUUGUGCUAAAUGUUCCAGUAAAGAUGGGCACAUUUUAUGCCAUCCUGCUGUGCAUCUUUUGAAACACUUCAUACACCCAAUCAAUCACA